rnacentral:rRNA from 1 species
UACGUAGGGUGCGAGCGUUAAUCGGAAUUACUGGGCGUAAAGCGUGCGCAGGCGGUUCUAUAAGACAGAUGUGAAAUCCCCGGGCUCAACCUGGGAACUGCAUUUGUGACUGUAGAGCUGGAGUGCGGCAGAGGGGAUGGAAUUCCGCGUGUAGCAGUGAAAUGCGUAGAUAUGCGGAGGAACACCGAUGGCGAAGGCAAUCCCCUGGGCCUGCACUGACGCUCAUGCACGAAAGCGUGGGGAGCAAACAGG